GUGAACGCUGGCGGUAGGCCUAACACAUGCAAGUUGAACGGCAGCACCGUAAGAGCUUGCUCUUACGGGUGGCGAGUGGCGGACGGGUGAGGAAUACAUCGGAAUCUACUUUUUCGUGGGGGAUAACGUAGGGAAACUUACGCUAAUACCGCAUACGACCUACGGGUGAAAGCAGGGGAUCUUCGGACCUUGCGCGAUUGAAUGAGCCGAUGUCGGAUUAGCUAGUUGGCGGGGUAAAGGCCCACCAAGGCGACGAUCCGUAGCUGGUCUGAGAGGAUGAUCAGCCACACUGGAACUGAGACACGGUCCAGACUCCUACGGGAGGCAGCAGUGGGGAAUAUUGGACAAUGGGCGCAAGCCUGAUCCAGCCAUACCGCGUGGGUGAAGAAGGCCUUCGGGUUGUAAAGCCCUUUUGUUGGGAAAGAAAAGCAGCAGGUUAAUACCCCGCUGUUCUGACGGUACCCAAAGAAUAAGCACCGGCUAACUUCGUG
rnacentral:rRNA from 1 species